rnacentral:rRNA from 1 species
ACGGGAGGCAGCAGUGGGGGAUAUUGCACAAUGGAGGAAACUCUGAUGCAGCAACGCCGCGUGAGGGAAGACGGUCUUCGGAUUGUAAACCUAAGUUAUCAGGGACGAAGAAAUGACGGUACCUGAGGAGAAAGCUCCGGCUAACUACGUGGCUGCAGCCGCGGUAAUACGUAGGGAGCGAGCGUUGUCCGGAUUUACUGGGUGUAAAGGGUGCGUAGGCGGGUUUGCAAGUCAGGCGUGAAAUCCCACGGCUUAGCUGUGGGGCUGCGCUUGAAACUGUGAAUCUUGAGUGAAGUAGAGGCAAGCGGAAUUCCUAGUGUAGCGGUGAAAUGCGUAGAUAUUAGGAGGAACACCAGUGGCUAAGGCGGCUUGCUGGGCUUUAACUGACGCUGAGGCACGAAAGCAUGGGGAGCAAACAGGAUUAGAUACCCUGGUA